CCUACGGGAGGCAGCAGUGGGGGAUAUUGAACAAUGGGGGAAACCCUGAUGCAGCGACGCCGCGUGGGUGAAGAAGUAUUUCGGUAUGUAAAGCCCUAUCAGCAGGGAAGAAAGAAGACGGUACCUGACUAAGAAGCCCCGGCUAACUACGUGCCAGCAGCCGCGGUAAUACGUAGGGGGCGAGCGUUAUCCGGAUUCACUGGGUGUAAAGGGAGCGUAGACGGCCGUGCAAGCCAGGAGUGAAAGCCCGGGGCCCAACCCAGGGACUGCUCUUGGAACUGUGCGGCUGGAGUGCGGGAGGGGCAGGCGGAAGUCCUGGUGUAGCGGUGAAAUGCGUAGAUAUCAGGAGGAACACCGGCGGCGAAGGCGGCCUGCUGGACCGCGACUGACGUUGAGGCUCGAAAGCGUGGGGAGCGAACAGGAUUAGAUACCCUUGUAGUC
rnacentral:rRNA from 1 species